rnacentral:rRNA from 1 species
GCACAAGCAGUGGAGUAUGUGGAUUAAUUCGACGCAACGCGAAGAACCUUACCAGGUCUUGACAUCGAGUGACGAGUGUAGAGAUACACUUCUCCUUCGGGACACGAAGACAGGUGGUGCAUGGUUGUCGUCAGCUCGUGUCGUGAGAUGUUGGGUUAAGUCCCGCAACGAGCGCAACCCUUACCUUUAGUUGCUACGCAAGAGCACUCUAGAGGGACUGCCGUUGACAAAACGGAGGAAG